UACGUAGGGUGCGAGCGUUGUCCGGAAUUACUGGGCGUAAAGAGCUCGUAGGUGGUUUGUCGCGUCUGCUGUGAAAACCCGAGGCUCAACCUCGGGCCUGCAGUGGGUACGGGCAGACUAGAGUGCGGUAGGGGAGAUUGGAAUUCCUGGUGUAGCGGUGGAAUGCGCAGAUAUCGGGAGGAACACCAGUGGCGAAGGCGGUUGCCUGGAGCUUUGCUGACGCUGAGGCGCGAAAGCGUGGGGAGCGAACAGG
rnacentral:rRNA from 1 species